AGAGUUUGAUCCUGGCUCAGGACGAACGCUGGCGGCGUGCCUAAUACAUGCAAGUAGAACGCUGAAGAGAGGAGCUUGCUCUUCUUGGAUGAGUUGCGAACGGGUGAGUAACGCGUAGGUAACCUGCCUUGUAGCGGGGGAUAACUAUUGGAAACGAUAGCUAAUACCGCAUAACAAUGGAUGACACAUGUCAUUUAUUUGAAAGGGGCAAUUGCUCCACUACAAGAUGGACCUGCGUUGUAUUAGCUAGUAGGUGAGGUAACGGCUCACCUAGGCGACGAUACAUAGCCGACCUGAGAGGGUGAUCGGCCACACUGGGACUGAGACACGGCCCAGACUCCUACGGGAGGCAGCAGUAGGGAAUCUUCGGCAAUGGGGGCAACCCUGACCGAGCAACGCCGCGUGAGUGAAGAAGGUUUUCGGAUCGUAAAGCUCUGUUGUAAGUCAAGAACGAGUGUGAGAGUGGAAAGU
rnacentral:rRNA from 1 species